CCCGCCCCUGUCUGUCUGAGGUAUAAAAAUAUUUUUUUUUAACUUCCUAUUCUACAGAAUGGAAAAUGGUCUUUUAUUCUGAGGGCAAUAACGUCACGUAAUUGAAAAGUAAACGGACAAACAAAGGUCUGCGUUGGCCGGGAAUCGAACCCGGGCCAACUGCUUGGAAGGCAGCUAUGCUCACCACUAUACCACCAACGCCAUGACAAAACAUUUGGAAAACGCAAUAGCAUGCAUGCCUCUUAAGUUGAUGUGCAUUGACAUGCCACUCUGCUAGACUCUCAUGCUGAGGUGUGCCGAGUAUUUUCUCUCUCGUGUGGCCAUUGAAGUUAGGCAUUCGCUAAGGAAUGUCCCUGAGGUCCUCCCACUUUACUUCAAAGCGUUGGUGGUAUAGUGGUGAGCAUAGCUGCCUUCCAAGCAGUUGACCCGGGUUCGAUUCCCGGCCAACGCAGAG